AGUGAACGCUGGCGGUAGGCCUAACACAUGCAAGUCGAACGGCAGCACAGUAAGAGCUUGCUCUUACGGGUGGCGAGUGGCGGACGGGUGAGGAAUACAUCGGAAUCUACUUUUUCGUGGGGGAUAACGUAGGGAAGCUUACGCUAAUACCGCAUACGACCUACGGGUGAAAGCAGGGGAUCUUCGGACCUUGCGCGAUUGAAUGAGCCGAUGUCGGAUUAGCUAGUUGGCGGGGUAAAGGCCCACCAAGGCGACGAUCCGUAGCUGGUCUGAGAGGAUGAUCAGCCACACUGGAACUGAGACACGGUCCAGACUCCUACGGGAGGCAGCAGUGGGGAAUAUUGGACAAUGGGCGCAAGCCUGAUCCAGCCAUACCGCGUGGGUGAAGAAGGCCUUCGGGUUGUAAAGCCCUGUUGUUGGGAAAGAAAAGCAGCAGGUUAAUACCCCGCUGUUCUGACGGUACCCAAAGAAUAAGCACCGGCUAACUUCGUG
rnacentral:rRNA from 1 species